rnacentral:rRNA from 1 species
GCACCAAUUUGAAGAGCAGCGAACGGGUGAGUAACGCGUGGGGAAUCUGCCUUUGAGCGGGGGACAACAUUUGGAAACGAAUGCUAAUACCGCAUAAAAACUUUAAACACAAAUUUUAAGUUUGAAAGAUGCAAUUGCAUCACUCAAAGAUGAUCCCGCGUUGUAUUAGCUAGUUGGUGAGGUAAAGGCUCACCAAGGCGAUGAUACAUAGCCGACCUGAGAGGGUGAUCGGCCACAUUGGGACUGAGACACGGCCCAAACUCC